UGAAAUUUGCCUUAACACCCUCUACUAUAUCUUAACCAUUUGGCAUUCAUGUUAUUCUGUCAAAAGUAAUGCUUAUUCAUUCACAAUGUUUUGAAUUAAUC